CGACUGGGGGAUGGCUCGGCUCGAGAGCCGAAGAAGGUCGUGACAAGCUGCGAUAAGUUGCGGGGAGAGGCAUGAAUCUCUUGGAUCC
rnacentral:rRNA from 1 species